GAGACCUAGAAGGCAAGUAAAGAGGUGAGGAAGGAAAUGGUGUAGGGAACACUGCACUUUGGGUGGGGGAUUUGAUGUAGCUGUGCAGUACAGGGCCCGGGGCUGUAACCCAGAUUUGAGGUUGGGACUGGAUUCCCUACCAGCCCCAAGGAAGUGGCAUACAAGGGUAGGUGAGCCCAGCGAGGGGGCUGCAGGCUGAAUGUGACUGUGCUAAAGAAGAGCUGUGCAGAGGGUGGAAGCUUUUGAUUUCUGUUAAGAGAGUUUUGAACUUUAGUUUGGGUAGCUGACCCUGGAAGGAACGGGCUAAAGACUGUGCCCUGGCUGGAGGGAUAUGAGUUCUCUGAAAGAAACCACCACAGCCACAGAGUGACUGUUGAUGAGGGCUGCUGCCCUACAAGCACUGUCAUGCCAUGCCUGGCCAUGAGGAAGUGCAGAGUGGUAUAAAGGCCAAGUCCUGGAAAGUCUUGAUAGAGGAUCUUAAACAGCAUAGUGUAGAGACCAUCCAACCAGAGAUCCCUCCAGAGCACCUGAUGGGCAUCCAAUACCAGCAUAUGCCAGAGUCAUGAUGCCAGUUUGCAUGGGGGCCCACAGAGCAACGUGAACAGAUAAAUUAAUUGGAAUUCUGCCAUCAUGACAUGAAAAAUCAAGCUGGCCAGAUGCUGAUCAGUGUAUAUCAGAAAUGGAGAAACUUUAUUCGCUUGAACAGAGUUAUUCUGAAUCAAUUCAUCUUAGGAGAGUUCUCUGUCCUUGGGGAGAGUAAAAUCUGAGAGAGGCCGUUUACUAGUUAGGGGAAAAGCCUAGGAUAUGGGAGACAUUAAUUCAGUUACCUCUUCGUAGAGGAAGAAUCAAUGAGUGGCAUCUGUUCCCCUCCCCACCUUUUGGGGAUUGGCUAGCUUUUCACAGUGUAAAAUAAGGAACAUGGGAGACGGCUUUUGGUGAGGGACCAAGGAAGCUGGCA